rnacentral:rRNA from 1 species
CAGCAGCCGCGGUAAUACGUAGGGACCAAGCGUUGUCCGGAUUUAUUGGGCGUAAAGAGCUCGUAGGCGGUUCCGUAAGUCGGAUGUGAAAACUCAGGGCUCAACCCUGAGACGCCAUCUGAUACUGCGGUGACUAGAGUCCGGUAGGGGAGCAUGGAAUUCCUGGUGUAGCGGUGGAAUGCGCAGAUAUCAGGAGGAACACCAAUGGCGAAGGCAGCGCUCUGGGCCGGUACUGACGCUGAGGAGCGAAAGCAUGGGGAGCAAACAGGAUUAGAUACCCUGGUAGUCCAUGCCGUAAACGUUGGGCACUAGGUGUGGGGUCUUCUAACGGAUUCCGUGCCGUACCUAACGCAUUAAGUGCCCCGCCUGGGGAGUACGGCCGCAAGGCUAAAACUCAAAGGAAUUGACGGGGGCCCGCACAAGCGGCGGAGCAUGUUGCUUAAUUCGAGGCAACGCGAAGAACCUUACCUGGGUUUGACUACUGAGGGCCGGUACAGAGAUGUACCCUUCCCUUCGGGGACUUCAGGAGAGGUGCUGCAUGGCUGUCGUCAGCUCGUGC